rnacentral:rRNA from 1 species
GCCAGACUCCUACGGGAGGCAGCAGUGGGGGAUAUUGCACAAUGGGGGGAACCCUGAUGCAGCGACGCCGCGUGGGUGAAGGAGCGUUUCGGCGCGUAAAGCCCUCUCGGCAGGGAAGAAGGAGGACGGUACCUGACUAAGAAGCCCCGGCUAACUACGUGCCAGCAGCCGCGGUAAUACGUAGGGGGCAAGCGUUAUCCGGAUUUACUGGGUGUAAAGGGGGCGCAGACGGCAGCGCAAGCCAGGAGUGAAAGCCCGGGGCCCAACCCCGGGACUGCUCUUGGAACUGCGCGGCUGGAGUGCAGGAGGGGCAGGCGGAAUUCCUGGUGUAGCGGUGAAAUGCGUAGAUAUCAGGAGGAACACCGGUGGCGAAGGCGGCCUGCUGGACUGCAACUGACGUUGAGGCCCGAAAGCGUGGGGAGCAAACAGGAUUAGAUACCCGCGUAUUU